UUUUUUGCCUAUAUAUAAUGGGAAAACAAAAGGAGAGAAAUCAUAUGCAAGAUUGUUUUUGCAGGAGAAGGCAUGGGUAUCUUUAAUGCUUUUCGUUAUCUAAUGUUAAUUCUCCUCCUCAUCACUUUCCAUCAUCAUUUGGUUUAUGCAGAUUUAAAGAUAAGGAAACUUGGAGAUCAUUCCAGGACACCUGCACCUCCAUCUCCCCAAAGAGGCAGUCAAAUCAAUCAUAAUCCUUAAUAGUAGAGUCGUCAAUUUAUCCAUAAUUUCAGUUUAAUGAUCCAAUGAUAAUCCCCACAACACUUCUUUCUUCGGGUGACGAAGUCAGGUCUGUACUAAUGUGGUAAUAGCGAAAGCCCUGAUUCAAAACCUUGACUUGGCUUAUUCCGUGUAGCAGUACUUGAUUUAAGUAAUUUACAAUAAACUUUUGGCGAUUCUGCUUGCUGGCUAUAGAGAUUGUUUUCAUAGAAAUCAAAGUUUACAUCAACAUUUUGUUUGUAAUAAUUUUAAUUAUAUUUUUAGCAUGCAAUAAAAGGUACCCUUAAAUUUAUUUCC